rnacentral:rRNA from 1 species
UACGUAGGGGGCAAGCGUUGUCCGGAUUUAUUGGGCGUAAAGAGCGUGUAGGCGGCCAAACAGGUCCACUGUGAAAGCUCGAGGCUCAACCUCGAGAGGUCGGUGGAAACCGUCUGGCUAGAGUCCGGAAGAGGAGAGUGGAAUUCCCGGUGUAGCGGUGAAAUGCGCAGAUAUCGGGAAGAACACCCGUGGCGAAGGCGGCUCUCUGGGACGGUACUGACGCUGAGACGCGAAAGCGUGGGGAGCGAACAGG